GUGCACCAGUCGCGAAACCUCCGCAAUGCACGCAAGUGCGACGGGGGAACCCCAAGUGCCACUCUUAACGGGGUGGCUUUUCAGAAGUGUAAAAAGCUUCUGGAAUAAGGGCUGGGCAAGACCGGUGCCAGCCGCCGCGGUAACACCGGCAGCUCAAGUGGUAGCCGCUUUUAUUGGGCCUAAAGCGUCCGUAGCCGGUCUGAUAGGUCUCUGGUGAAAUCCCACAGCUUAACUGUGGGAAUUGCUGGAGAUACUAUCAUGACUCGAGGUCGGGAGAGGCUGGAGGUACUCCCAGGGUAGGGGUGAAAUCCUGUAAUCCUGGGAGGACCACCUGUGGCGAAGGCGUCCAGCUGGAACGAACCUGACGGUGAGGGACGAAAGCCAGGGGCGCGAACCGGAUUAGAUACCCAAGUAGUCC
rnacentral:rRNA from 1 species